GACGAACGCUGGCGGUGUGCUUAACACAUGCAAGUCGAACGGUAAGGCCCUUUCGGGGGUCCACGAGUGGCGAACGGGUGAGUAACACGUGAGUAACCUGCCCUCAUCUCUGGGAUAACAGUCGGAAACGGUUGCUAAUACUGGAUAUGAGCUUGCAAGGCAUCUUGUGGGUUGGAAAGAUUUUUUUUGGUUGGGGAUGGACUCGCGGCCUAUCAGCUUGUUGGUGAGGUAGUGGCUCACCAAGGCUUCGACGGGUAGCCGGCCUGAGAGGGCGACCGGCCACAUUGGGACUGGGAUACGGCCCAAACUCCUACGGGAGGCAGCAGUGGGGAAUAUUGCACAAUGGACGGAAGUCUGAUGCAGCAACGCCGCGUGCGGGAUGACGGCCUUCGGGUUGUAAACCGCUUUCAAUUGUGACGAAGCUUUUUUGUGACGGUAGCAGUAGAAGAAGCACCGGCUAACUACGUG
rnacentral:rRNA from 1 species